ensembl:snRNA U1 U1 spliceosomal RNA
AUACUUAUCUGAUAGGGGAGGCACCAUGAUCACUUAGGUCGUCCUCCCAGGGCGAGGCUCAUCUAUUGCGCUGCGGGCAAGGGUGGGAAAAACCCGAUUAUUUUGCCUGACAAAUCUCGUUAUUGGUUUUAGUGGAAUUAAACCUGAUUUUGCCGAUUAAAA